rnacentral:rRNA from 1 species
UACGUAGGAUGCAAGCGUUGUCCGGAAUUACUGGGCGUAAAGGGCGCGUAGGCGGGUGCUCAAGUCCGGGGUGAAAUCCUCCAGCUCAACUGGAGAACUGCCUCGGAUACUGGGUGCCUCGAGUGUGGUAGGGGUGUGCGGAACUAUCGGUGGAGCGGUGAAAUGCGUUGAUAUCGAUAGGAACUCCGGUGGCGAAGGCGCACACUGGACCACAACUGACGCUGAGGCGCGGAAAGCCAAGGGGAGCAAACGGG